CAAUAAGCGGAGGAAAAGAAACUAAAAAGGAUUCCCUUAGUAACUGCGAGUGAAAAGGGAGAAGCCCAGCGCUGAAGCCCUCGUCGUUUAUCGGCGGAGUGCAAUGUAGCGUAUGGGACCGUCCAUCCCUCGCCGUCGCGGCGAGCCCAAGUCCUCUUGACCGCGGCCGUAACCCUUGGAGGGUGCAAGGCCCGUCAUGGCUCGGCGUUUACGCUAACGACGGUGGGUAAGGACGACAAGUCCCGAGAGUCGGGUUGCUUGAAAGUGCAACCUUAAGCAGGUGGUAAGUUCCAUCUAAGGCUAAAUAUUGCGCACGAGACCGAUAGCAAACAAGUACCGUGAGGGAAAGUUGAAAAGAACUUUGAAGAGAGAGUUCAAUAGUACGUGAAACCGUUCGGAGGUAAACGGGUGGGCCCUCGAAGUUCGAAGCGGGACCGCGGGGAUUCAACCUACAAGGCACGUCCGAGUUCGGUUGUUUUGCCAGUCAGAUCAUACCAAACUGCCGCAUAGCGCGACGUUCGAUCAGGCCCGGAUCACUUCGGUGAACCGGCGAGCUUUUUCUUACUGAGCCUUUCGGUGGGAUCGUCUGCGCCAUCCGACGAUCGCAGUCCGUACCUGCUUCUUAAUAAUAACGCGUGUGCGUGUUUUAUUUCGCAGUUCCGGUGCGCAACUCGGUCGUAAAAAACUCUACGGCUGCCGUAGGCGCAUUUCCCCACGAAAAGGUCCCCUAGUAGUACGCCGCGACCGGUCGGGAGAUCCAGACGAGGGCGGCGUGGCGAGACGAUCAACGGGGAAGGUGCUCGGUCUCUCGGUCGAAGGGUCGCAUCGAUUAAUCUCUUUGCUUCCUAUUCGGCACGUCGGACCUCAAAAAUCCGGCACGUGAUUCCGUGGCUUUACAUCCCCAGUCUCGACCUCUUGCUCGUUCCCUCGCCCGACCGUGGCCAAAAAUUACUGGAAUCAUACUAGAACUCUCCGCUCUGCGAGCGGUACAAGCAGUCCCGUGAGUCGCACUUUUACGCGUGUUGAUCCCUUACAUUCCAGAUUCUUUUCCUCCGGCUGCCUGGUUGGUUCACUGAAAUUUUCGACUCCACCCCGCCUCGAAACUUUUCUUGAUCGUGCUCGGCUUUAGCAUUAAGGUUUCCUGAUCGUAUGGAUUUCAUCCAUCCUUUCGGUCGAUUUCUUUUGCUUCUUCCUUGUUCGAAACAGUAAAGUUCGGCGUCGUGUUCUCGUCUUAAAACCUUCUAGUGUUCGUAAACCGCGCAACCCCAUUCCGAACGUCAAAAUUCGGCAAUGCGAAAAGGGGGUAUUUGCGAAACAAAGGGCUGAUACCACGUAUAUCAACUCGCGCGCGGGUUCACACCAGCGCCCAUCUAGUCCGCACCGUACCAAAGCGUUCACGUCGGGUUCCCUUCUCUUGCGACCUUCUUCGCAGCUGGCUUUCAUCCUUCUAUCGGCCGUCGCAUCACGCUCUUUCCUUCUCUCCAUCUCACUCUCUCGCUCUGAUGCCCGUCUCGUACGGGUUUUCUCUGCGAGUUUGCUGCUGGUGAUUGAUAGAUUUUGUGUUGUGUGGCUCGAGCCGCUGGUUCGAACGAGAGUGUCAGGCUUUGAUUUUUGCUCGAUUAGGGGUUGCGCCCUUCGUAGUGCGUAUGCGUCGGUGUGGCCGGGUGCCGGCUCCCGCCUCGGUGCUUAGAGGUCUGCGGCGAGUAGGUCGGUAACCCACCCGACCCGUCUUGAAACACGGACCAAGGAGUCUAACAUGCACGCGAGUCUUCGGGUUAUACACGAAACCCUAACUCGGGGCCCGCCCCUUUUCGGUAAAGCUCACCAGGGAGCGUCCGGAUAGGGGUUCACGGGUUCGUUCUGUUCUUCUUCGCAGAUGGACAGUUCGAUUUACCCUUGUAAUUGAAGGCGAAAUGAACGUGAGGAGAAAGGAAGAAAUAUUCAAAAAAAACAAAAAUAAACCAAAAAAAUGAAAAACAAGUGGUGGUAAACGACGGCCGGUGUGAAUUCGUUUUUCGUACCAUCAAAUCGAUCGGCCCUGAUAAACGUGAAAAUUCGGUGUCGUUUUUCAUACUGGAGGUUUUCUUUUGAUGAACUCUUAAGCCGUAUGGUUGUCGUGGAGGUAGUCCCACCUCUUCACGUGUUUUCGACCCCAGAGUUUGCCAUGUUGUCACCGAGGCACGGUUGCCUGCUGCUGCUGCUGGCUUGAUUGUUUGAGUAACAUCUUCCGUCCGUCGUUAUCGUCUCUGGUAAAUUAUUUUCCGAUCGACGCCAUCCAAGAUCCGGACCACAGAAUGCCUAAUAGUCCUGGCGCUCUCUCAGUUGCAGUGUGUGUGUGUGUGUCUUCSCCGACGUUGGWAAACGCCGCGAUUUCAAUAUAUACCACUUCUGUGAAGCCCACGACAUCUACAAAGAA
rnacentral:rRNA from 1 species